AGGUUUCCGUAGGUGAACCUGCGGAAGGAUAUUAAU
rnacentral:rRNA from 1 species